ensembl:lncRNA
GUAACAUUUCUUGCUGAAGCUAAUUUUUCUAAUAAAAGUCAACCUGAGGUGGUACCUAGAAAACAAAAGGAACUCUGAAUUGGAGAACCAGAUGCAAUCUGGAACCUCUGGAUGGAAUCAGACCUGAAGGGAGAUGUUUCUGGAUCUUCACCAACAUAGAUCAAUACAUUCAUUUUUUGUAUGAGCAACUAUAACUUGGAUUGGGGAACAACUAAAUAUACAAUAUAUAACACCUCCUCUGCAAGUCUGAAGAGUGCCUCCGAACAGGGGCAUGACAGGUGGAGACCUGGAGCUACCAAGGGCACAAAGAGCUCCCUAGUGGGGAUCGAACUUGGGACCUUGUGCUUGCGAGGCAGGUGAUGGAACUACUGAGCUAAA